GGAACGGUGGCAGAGCGGCCUAAUGCACUUGUCUUGAAAACAAGAGACCUUACGGGGUCCGGGGGUUCAAAUCCCUCCCGUUCCG
rnacentral:tRNA from 3 species